UGUUUCCAGUUUUUGGAGAAAAAAAUAAUUUGUUUUUGAUUCUGAGAAAAAAAAAAUUGUUUGUUUCACCCUCAGCUGCCACUAUAUGUAAUGCUAAAAUUGAAAGAAAAAAAUAGAUUGUUUUUCGCCGCAGGCGAAAAAAAAAAUUUGUCCAGAAAAAAAAACCAUAGCCCCCCCCAGAAAAUCAAAUGGUUGCUGCCUAAGAAAAGUUCCAAAGAAAUCAGGGCAUUUUAUGAAAAAAUGGUGGGUUGAACCUGGUUUUGUGGCAUGCCAAACCUCCCGCUUUAAUGGCAGUGUUAAUUACGUGGUUAAUUAUAACAUUAAUAUGACAACAUUACACGACAGGGUUACAAUAAAUAAACAGAUAAAUAGGAGAAAAUAUAGGACAGAGAAACAAACAAACAAAAGUCUUAAAAAGUGUGUCAUAAUAGAAUCAAAUCGGUAAUUGGCAAA
rnacentral:lncRNA from 1 species